GUGGGGAAUUUUGCGCAAUGGGGGAAACCCUGACGCAGCAACGCCGCGUGAGUGAUGAAGGCCUUCGGGUCGUAAAGCUCUGUCAGAGGGGAAGAAGUGUGAGGUGGCUAAUAUCCAUUUCACUUGACGGUACCUUCAAAGGAAGCACCGGCUAACUCCGUGCCAGCAGCCGCGGUAAUACGGAGGGUGCGAGCGUUGUUCGGAAUUAUUGGGCGUAAAGCGCGUGUAGGCGGUUUUUUAAGUCUGAUGUGAAAGCCCUGGGCUCAACCCGGGAAGUGCAUUGGAAACUGGGAGACUUGAAUACGGGAGAGGGCAGUGGAAUUCCUGGUGUAGGAGUGAAAUCCGUAGAUAUCAGGAGGAACACCGGUGGCGAAGGCGGCUGCCUGGACCGAUAUUGACGCUGAGACGCGAAAGCGUGGGGAGCAAACAGGAUUAGAAACCCCAGUAGUCC
rnacentral:rRNA from 1 species